AUCCCAUGACUGUGGGAAAAUGGGCCUCAGUUCUCUUUUCUAUAACAUAAGGACACUGGACGAUUUGAAUUUGGAAAGUUAAAAGAACUCCUAAAGCCUUGCAAGACAUAGUUUGGGAAUGUUCUCCAUUGCUGCCAUUUUUCCUCCAAAAAUAACCUGGCUUGGAAGUCAUUGGUUGAAAGGGAACUUGACUCCCCAUAGAAACUGGAGGGAAGGUAACACAAGUGGAGAGGGACAGCUGUAUUUCUGCCAGAGUAAGAAACCCACCGAAAGGUUCUGGUACGGAUUUUGGAGACAUAAAGAGAAUGAGUGUAUGUACUUUGAGUGUACCAGUUUCCUCGAUCUCUCCUGGCAGAAGAUGCAGUGCUUUUAGUGAUGCUGGGGUUCUGGGGUGUGUUUCCAUUAAUUCAAAUACAGAUGAAGACGGUGUGCUAGAGGGAAAGAUGGUGGCAGAAGGAUCGAAUAAAGAGACAAAAUUGCCUGCUAAAAAGAAAAGAAA
rnacentral:lncRNA from 1 species